AUUGAACGCUGGCGGCAGGCCUAACACAUACAAGUCGAGCGGAGCGGCGGACGGGUGAGUAAUGCCUAGGAAUCUGCCUGGUUGUGGGGGAUAACGUCCGGAAACGGGCGCUAAUACCGAAGACUAUCAGAUGAGCCUAGGUCGGAUUAGCUAGUUGGUUGGGUAAAGGCCUACCAGGGCGACGAUCCGUAACUGGUCUGAGAGGAUGAUCAGUCACACUGAAACUGAGACACGGUCCAGACCUCUACGGGAGUCAGCUGUGGGGAAUAUCUGACAAUGGGCUAAGGCCUGAUCCAGCGCUGCCGCGUGUGUGAAGAAGGUUUUCGGAUUGUCAAGCACUUUAAGUUGGGAGGCGUUACCAACAGAAUAAGCACCGGCUAAACUCGUGCCAGCCGCCGCGGUAAUAC
rnacentral:rRNA from 1 species